ACCCACGCGGCGCAGCUCCCAAAGUUGCAGACAGCCCGGCGAACCGCGCAAUGCGCUUCUUCUGCCUGCAGCAGAGAAAAGGAAAGAAAACUCCGCAGGGGCUCCGUUGGCUUCUCCACGAGUGACAACCAUGUUUUCCCAGAUAGAAGACCGGAGCCCUGCUCCUUUGCGAUCCGCCGAGGGCUGCAGAGAGCAUCCUCAUCCAUUUGGGCACCCCUGCCCAGGAAGAGCCCGGCCAUCCCUUUCCGGACUGGAUCCUUAAGAGGUGAAUUUUCUUCCGUGGAUUCCGAUUUGCUCCGUCUGACCAGCCUAGGCAAUCCAGCAUCGCGUGGUACCAGUGCCGCUGGGCACACUGGCUUCACGCCGGCUCCGCCUCACCAGCAAGCGCAUUCCCAGAUAAAACACUAACUCAGAGAAGAAAUUUAACUGCAAAUUUGGUUAAUGACCAUGGAUUCCUAAUGAGAAGAAAAGCUAGACACUGAGAGUUUAGAAUAAACUCAAGAAUCUUAAAAAUUUUCCCAUGGAACUGCCUUUGCACCUCUAUAAAAAAUUAAUUGACCAUAUGAACCGCCUGAAGUCUGCAUCAUGACUUGAUGGUUACCCAGGGGUUUAUGUGUGUCCAACUGAACACCGUGGUUCUGGGAUUGAGGAUCCGCACAAACACAGGCAGGAGUUUGGAGGGAAGAAGGGGGCACAGCAGGAGUGUAUCUCAAGCCCACCUCAAAGGCAGCAGAGCAUUCCAAGUUGCUGAAAACCUGUGCAAAUGGGGCCUCUAAAACAAACAUUGUACUGUGAGCUCUC
ensembl:lncRNA DUBR DPPA2 upstream binding RNA